UGGUGGAGUGAUUUGUCUGGUUGAUUCCGUUAACGAACGAGACCUUUUCUUCCAAAUUGCUACAGAUAUGUUAAUAGUUUGUAGUAACUCGGAGAACAACAUGUGGAAAGCAUGGGGAAGAGAAAGGCGAAAACA
rnacentral:rRNA from 1 species